CGGUCCUACUCAUCGACACUUGUUGCACAUUGACGUAGGAGAAAAGCACUUUGUUAAUACUGUGAGAGAGGGAGAAAGCAGGGAAAUAGUUUAAACAGAGUAUUUAUAUAUAAACAAUAUUCGUUGGCGCAGAAGAUAUUUAAAGGGAAAAAGUGUCUUGGAAGCUUGUUCAACACUGGGAAAAACAUUCCUUCAACAAGAACCAUGAAUUUAAAUGAUUUUGUGGCUGUUACAAACAAGCCUAAGUCAAUGAAGUUAAAGGCCAGGAAUCUUGGAGAGAUGAAGCUUGAGACAGUACAGCUGGAGCUUGAGAGUAAAGACAUGGAGAGUAGACUUCAGCAGCUAAGACAGAGCAUGAGCAGAGAAAAAGAGGAAAGAAAAAAUUCAGAAGUAUAUCACUGGAAGUCAGGACAAGCUGGUAGACUGAGUAAUCAAACACAAGGACCGGCACAAAAUAAGGAGAACAGUUUUCAAAAGUUCUCAGUUGGAAACAUGAAGGUAAAAGUUCUCAAAGAUCAACCUGAAGAGUUCAAGAAAACACUGGCAAAACAGCAAACAUCAGUGAGUUUGGAACCAAGCCGAAAAACUAAACUGAAGGGAAAAGACUGUGGACAGUGCGAAUCAAAAAAGGCCGGGGUGAUGUGUGUGGAAUGUGGAGAAGAUUACUGCAUUGGGUGUUUUGCCAGAUUCCACCAGAAGGGGGCACUGAAAUUCCACAGAAUGAUACCUAUUCAGAUGGAGAUCCAGACUUCCGUCAGCACAUUAGAUGUUGUUAGUCAGUUUAAGAAACAAAUUGAUCCUGAAGAAUCAGCUGUGAAAACCAAACAGAGGGAUGCCGUAAUGGGCAAGCAGUCACCUGUAAGAAAUCCGUCACCUGAAAUUAAUAGAAAUGCUGAGAUUUUAACCUUAGACCCUGAGGAGGAAUUUGAAAAUCCUGACACAAGUGAUGAGACCCAGUCCUUACUAAGUGGUGCAUUUGAUGAGGCAGAAUCUGCAAACUCCUUUCAGGAAGUACUAAUGGAAUGGAGAGCUAGUAAUGGAAGGAACAAUCAGAACUGGAAACCAUUGGAAUCCCUCCCAGUGUCAACAGAAGUGUCUGCAGUUCAAGCAGACCUUGUGCAAGAAAGAAAACCAAUUGAUAUUGAGUUUAGGGAACACAGUUUGAGCUAUAUGGAAAAGCUGUUGUUGAAAAAACACAGACGAACUCCUGUAGAACAAUAUCAAGCCGUGUCUUCUGUCACUUCAUUUCAAAGACCUCCAGUGGAUUCAAAGAGAUUGAUAGAUGAAGAAGGUUUAAGUUUGACAGCUGAAGAGCUGGAGAUACACAGAUACUGUGUUUCACUUUUUACAGAAAAAAAGAUAGAUCAAUAUAUUCAGCGUACAGAAUCACGCUUAAGUGUGCUGGAGUUAGAUGAGGUUCUUGAAGACCAUUUGGAGAAAAGAACCUAUUGUGUAGUGCAAGAAGAGGAUUCCAAAGAAAGAAAGGAAGCUGAAAGGACUGGGGGGGGCUCACCACAAUUGCAUGGCUUAUUGGAAACUGAAGAACUGACAGGAAACAAAGAGAUUAAACAGUUGAAGAAGCUUGAAAUGUGUACUCCAUCCUUGCAAAGAACACCUCUGUCUUCAGGUGAUAGGACAAGUCUCUCACCAGGAAAUGCAGCUUCUGUUAAAACAUCAAGACAAACUCCUCUGAAGGAUUCUUCUGAAAUGGAAAGAAGGGCUCAUGAAUAUCCACAGAAACCAAAACAAAGACAGAGACAAAGAACAGAAAAGCAAACUGAAAGUUCACCUGUGAAUUCUCAUACUUGUACUCCGACAGCAUCACUUUUGUUAGACAUGCAUUUUGAAGAUUCACCAUCCACUUCAGAGAAUGGAUCCAACCCAAAUCACUGGCUUGAGAGUAGCAGUCCUACAGACCUGGGCCUUACAUUACAACCAUCUAAGGCACUGCACAGUCUUGCUCAAAGAACAGUGAUGAAAGGAGACCAGUAUUGUGGCUUGAAUGGGUUUCUUACUUUAGGCCUGGAACCUGAAAGUAUUUGUCCUGAUCCUUUUCCUCCUCAAACUUCACUGGAAACUGGUAGAAAUGAGGAAUGCCUGCGUGCAGUUGGAAAAGAGGACUGGAGACCUAGCAGCAGUUUUACAGAACAAGCCGAUGAGUCAGUUGUCAGCAGUGUAAUUGGCAGUGUUUGGAGCAGACCAUUAAGCAGUCCUCAGCAACUGAUCUAUGCUGCUAGAACAGACUCAUCUACACAACGACAGCAAUUGCUAGUGGAAAAUGAGAAACUGUUGUCAACUGCGAAGAAAGAAUCUAAGUCUUCUAGAUCAGCUGGUGCAGCUACACGGCCACUUUCCAGAGCUGCAGUUGAAAUUUCGGAAAUCGAAUCCAUUGAUUGUACAGAGAAUGACGAUCCAUACCUAGAAGAUGAAGCUGCUAAGUAUGCACUGGCAAGCUUGGAAGAAGAAUUCAAAAUGCUUGUUAAUGACAAAGAUGUGAUAAAAUCACUGCAUGAUCCACAUGUCUAUCAGAGUCAAAAUGGAUUAAGAUCACAGAACCAUAUGAAGACCUUUUCUACAAAAAGCUGGGAUGUUGAAGGUCACACAGAUGAUGAAGAUGAGGAGAUUUUAAGAGACAAACAGAAUGUUAUGUCAUUAAUAUGACUGUAAAUGGGAAUUGGAGAACAUACAAUAGAUACACCUGUCUGACACUUUCUUCAUCUUGAGAGCCAGAUCAAUUUGUUCCCCCAGAUAAGCAAAACCAAGGCAAAAUUCUCAGAAUAGACGGUGCUGAGUAAGAAAAAAGCUGAAUAAAAACAAAACAACAGACAUCAAUGGCUCUACAAGAAAGCUAGAAAGGAGAACCGUAGUGAAGGGGUCCUCUUAGAAAUUACCUGAAGCAUCCAGGAUCAUCAACGUCUGUUCUAGUUUUAAUCAGAUUCUUGCCUGGACCUCACUAUUUUUUAGCUGUCAAACUGGACAUCAUUUCUUCUCUUCAGCUGAACAAAGCCACACAGCCCUGGUAAUGGGCUUAGCUUUUAAACAGAUAUGUGAGCUAAUUGAAAUUCAUGAGCGCAUGUUCAAAUGGUUCUGUAGCCCAGAAACAUACACAUACCGUAUGACAAUGUACAGCUUAAUGUUUUUGAUUUCCAACAAGCAUUUUUGUGUCCCUGCAAGCUACAAAGGAGACAAAUCAAUGCCAGUCUAUUGUUAUUUAGUUGCAGGAUCUCUAUAAAUGGAUUCACAAUGAU